AUUGAACGCUGGCGGCAGGCUUAACACACGCAAGUCGAGCGGAGAUGAGGUGCCUGCACCUUAUCUUAGCGGCGGACGGGUGAGUAAUGCUUAGGAAUCUGCCUAUUCGUGGGGGACAGCAUUCCGGAAGGGAUGCUAAUACCGCAUACGACCUACGGGGGAAAGCAGGGGAUCUUCGGACCUUGAGCUAAUACAUUAGCCUAAGUCGGGUUAGGUAGUUGGGGGGGUAAAGGCCUACCAAGGCGACGAUCUGUAGCGGGUCUGAGAGGAUGAUCCGCCCAACUGGGACCGGGACACGGCCCAGACUCCUACGGGAGGCAGCAGUGGGGAAUAUUGGACAAUGGGCGGAAGCCUGAUCCAGCCCUGCCGCGUUUGUUAAGAAGGCCUUUUGGUUGUUAAGCACUUUAAGCGAGGAGGAGGCUACCUGGAUUAAUACUCUAGGAUAGUUGACGUUACUCGCAGAAUAAGCACCGGCUAACUCUGUGCCAGCCGCCGCAGUAAAAC
rnacentral:rRNA from 1 species